UUUGAUUUCUCAUAAAGAUGUGAAUGAAUCUUUUGUUUACUAGGUUUACAAAAGAUUAGUGGGAGUUAAUCAAAUUCCUAAAUUUGAAUAUAUAUAUGAUAUAUUAAUUUUGGAAAUGAAAAGAAUACUUCUUCGUUAAAGUUAUGACUUUAAACAUUCUAUAAUGAUAGAAUGUAUAUGAGAGUUAUAGUCUAAAUACAUGGGAUAGAAAUCUAUAAUGAUAUAUUUCAAGAUAUAAUUCGAUUAUAUCAAUCCCUAAUAAUAGACAAGAGAUGCUAGGAAGUUUCUCAUAUGAUGAUAAACUUCAAUUAGAAGGACGACUCUAGUGAGACUAGCAAGUUGGCCUUCUCAAAGGGAACGUACCAUUUGACUCCCAAAGAAAUAAUGCGUAAAUAGAAUCCUUUAUGCAUACGCAAAAAGGUGAUUUAUGUAUUUCAUAUUGUAUGAAAAACAUUGAUAUGAGUUGUACCUAGAAAGGUACAAGACGAUAUCAGUGCAAGCCCAGGAUCAGAACCAUGGCAACUGUCAAGUGAGUCCUUGAAUAUUUAAGAAAUACUAAAGGAUAGAUUCCUCAAAGAAUGAGGAAGAAUUAGAGUAACGUAAUGGAAGCGUAAAUAUAUUAGAUUAUGAAUCUAAUCCAUCAUUGGAUGUUUCUUCAUUAUGAAUGAAGAGAUAAUCAGAUAUCUCUUUAUUAUGACUAAAAGAGAUAUUUGGAUGGAAAUAUUAAAAGUAAUGACUUUAGUGUGUUCCAUUGUGAAUGCAAAAUAUAUUGCCAUAUAGAAGCUUACAACAAUGUUGUUUGGAUGGGAAAGUUCAUUUAUGAACUCUCUAUUCGGUUCCAACUAGAAAGUGUCUCUAGUGUACUGACACUACGACACUAAUGGGGCAAUAGCUCAAGCCAGGGAAUCAAGGUCUCAUCAUGAUCCAAACUCAAAUGAGAGACUGAACCACAUGAUUGAGAAUCAUGUAUGAUGGUGACGUCGUUAUUCUCAAGGUUGCUUCUAUGGAUAACAUAUAGAUAUCCAUUGUCUAGGCCUACUACUCAGCCAUUUUUUGAAAUGACUACAGAAGAGGUAUCAUCACUGAUGACCAAGCUGAUUGGCUCUAGUGCAAGUGCGAGAUUGUUGGAAAUGUGCUUUAAAACCAAUCAUAUGAUGAUACUUUACGGACAUUUCACAUGUUAAACUAAUCUAGUUUAAUAUCAAGGGCAUAGAUUAUUGUUUUAAGCCGUCUCAUAUAAAUGUUAUAUGCUUAAACGAUAAGUCCAAGGAAUAUGUAAUUAG
rnacentral:lncRNA from 1 species